rnacentral:rRNA from 1 species
UACGUAGGUGGCAAGCGUUAUCCGGAAUUAUUGGGCGUAAAGCGCGCGUAGGCGGUUUUUUAAGUCUGAUGUGAAAGCCCACGGCUCAACCGUGGAGGGUCAUUGGAAACUGGAAAACUUGAGUGCAGAAGAGGAAAGUGGAAUUCCAUGUGUAGCGGUGAAGUGCGUAGAGAUCAGGAGGAACACCAGUGGCGAAGGCGACUUUCUGGUCUGUAACUGACGCUGAUGUGCGAAAGCGUGGGGAGCAAACAGG